rnacentral:rRNA from 1 species
AUUGAACGCUGGCGGCAUGCUUUACACAUGCAAGUCGAACGGUAACAGGGUGCUUGCACCGCUGACGAGUGGCGAACGGGUGAGUAAUGCGUCGGAACGUGCCGAGUAGUGGGGGAUGACGCAGCGAAAGUUGUGCUAAUACCGCAUACGUACUGAGGUAGAAAGUGGGGGACCUUCGGGCCUCACGCUAUUCGAGCGGCCGACGUCUGAUUAGCUAGUAGGUGAGGUAAAGGCUCACCUAGGCGACGAUCAGUAGCGGGUCUGAGAGGAUGAUCCGCCACACUGGGACUGAGACACGGCCCAGACUCCUACGGGAGGCAGCAGUGGGGAAUUUUGGACAAUGGGCGAAAGCCUGAUCCAGCCAUGCCGCGUGUCUGAAGAAGGCCUUCGGGUUGUAAAGGACUUUUGUCGGGGAGGAAAUCCCCAGCGCUAAUACCGCUGGGGGAUGACAGUACCUGAAGAAUAAGCACCGGCUAACUACGUGCCAGCCGCCGCGGUAACAC